rnacentral:rRNA from 1 species
AUUGAACGCUGGCGGCAGGCCUAACACAUGCAAGUCGAGCGAGCGGCGGACGGGUGAGUAAUGUAUGGGGACUGCCCGAUAGAGGGGGAUAACUACUGGAAACGGUGGCUAAUACCGCAUACUAUCGGAUAACCCAUAUGGGAUUAGCUAGUAGGUUGGGUAAAGGCUACCCUCGGCGACGAUCUCUAGCUGGUCUGAGAUGAUGUUCAGCCACACGGGGACUGAGACCCGGCCCAGACUCCUACGGAGGCAGCAGUGGGGAAUAUUGCUCAAAGGGCGCAAGCCUGAGGCAGCCAUGCCGCGUGUAUGAAGAAGGCCUGAGAGUUGUAAAGUACUUUCAGCGGGGAGACGUUACCCGCAGAAGGAGCACCGGCUAACUCCGUGCCAGCAGCCGCGGUAAUAC